UUGACCUCAAAUCGGGUGAGACUACCCGCUGAACUCAAGCAUAUCAAUAAGCGGAGGAAAAGAAACUAACAAGGAUUCCCCUAGUAACUGCGAGUGAAGCGGGAAAAGCUCAAAUUUAAAAUCUGGCGGUCUUUGGCCGUCCGAGUUGUAAUUUAGAGAAGCGUCUUCCGCGCCGGACCGUGCACAAGUCUCCUGGAUGGAGCGU
rnacentral:rRNA from 1 species